GUGGGGAAUAUUGGACAAUGGGGGGAACCCUGAUCCAGCCAUGCCGCGUGUGUGAAGAAGGCCUUUUGGUUGUAAAGCACUUUAAGCGAGGAGGAGGCUACCGAGAUUAAUACUCUUGGAUAGUGGACGUUACUCGCAGAAUAAGCACCGGCUAACUCUGUGCCAGCAGCCGCGGUAAUACAGAGGGUGCAAGCGUUAAUCGGAUUUACUGGGCGUAAAGCGCGCGUAGGUGGCCAAUUAAGUCAAAUGUGAAAUCCCCGAGGUUAACUUGGGAAUUGCAUUCGAUACUGGUUGGCUAGAGUAUGGGAGAGGAUGGUAGAAUUCCAGGUGUAGCGGUGAAAUGCGUAGAGAUCUGGAGGAAUACCGAUGGCGAAGGCAGCCAUCUGGCCUAAUACUGACACUGAGGUGCGAAAGCAUGGGGAGCAAACAGGAUUAGAAACCCGUGUAGUCC
rnacentral:rRNA from 1 species